rnacentral:rRNA from 1 species
ACGGGUGCGGAACACGUACGCAACCUUCCUUCAAGCGGGGCAUAGCUUUCGGAAACGAAAAUUAAUACCCCAUAGUAAUAUCUGAGGGCAUCUGAGGAUAUUUAAAGAUUUAUCACUUGAAGAUGGGCGUGCGCCUGAUUAGGUAGUUGGCGGGGUAACGGCCCACCAAGCCUACGAUCAGUAACUGGUGUGAGAGCACGACCAGUCACACGGGCACUGAGACACGGGCCCGACUCCUACGGGAGGCAGCAGUAAGGAAUAUUGGUCAAUGGACGCAAGUCUGAACCAGCCAUGCCGCGUGGAGGAUGAAGGUCCUCUGGAUUGUAAACUUCUUUUAUCGGAGAAGAAACCCCCGAGUUCUCUUGGGGUUGACGGUACCCGAUGAAUAAGCACCGGCUAACUCCGUGCCAGCAGCCGCGGUAAUACGGAGGGUGCAAGCGUUAUCCGGAUUCACUGGGUUUAAAGGGAGCGUAGGUGGGCUGGUAAGUCAGUGGUGAAAUCUCCGGGCUUAACUCGGAAACUGCCGUUGAUACUAUCAGUCUUGAAUAUUGUGGAGGUAAGCGGAAUAUGUCAUGUAGCGG